rnacentral:misc_RNA from 1 species
CCCGAGCCUGGCUCCUUCCAUGCAAAGCCUGGCGAGGAAGGCGAGGAAGCCUGGCAGGGAUGGUUUUUUCACCACCUCGAAGACCAGCACGCGAUUCCGCCUCUAGUUUGACUGUUUUUGUUGUUUAAAUCUGAGUCUAGCAAUCAGCAUCGACAUAGAAUCUGCCAGCAGCAAAACUGUGACCAGGCAGAGAAACGGGUGGGGGACAGUUCCCAGGCCUCCUCUCCAGCCCGCUGUGCAGCGAGUUCAGUUGCUUCACGCCCUAAGCCAGCGAGUACCCAUCAACAAGGCUGUCAGUGACUGCAGUGACUUCCAGGCGCCUUAUCCUCUCUAAGCGUCCUGAUAACCCUGAGAGAUGUUAUUACGGCCAUUCCCUUUUUGUCAUGGAGGUGGGGGGUGCGGUGUCUUCUGAGCUGAUACUCCACUCCGUUGUGAGUAUCUGUGGGAUAUGACCAUUCCCUUUUUGUCAUGGAGGUUGGGACUGGGGGGCCUUUCUGAGCUGAUAUUCUGUUGUGAAUAUCUGUGGGAUAAUUUCACGUCGUCGCCUCCCCUGGCUCUAAGGAGCUUGGACGUGUCUGGAGGUUCAUGGAAGCCACCUGCAGGAGUGCCUGGCUUGGCUUUGCCUUUUUGUCUUCUUCCUGCUCUUCUCACUCACCUUCACAUGCCCCCACGUCUGCCCUACCGCAUCCACCCCAUAUCCCUUAAACAGGUAUUUGGGAA